rnacentral:tRNA from 1 species
GAGGGUAUAGCUCAGUGGUAGAGCUCAUGCCUAGUGUGCAUGAGGUCCUGGGUUCAAUCCCCAGUACCUCCA